GACAGAGGGUGCAAACGUUGUUCGGAUUUACUGGGCGUAAAGCGAGUGUAGGCGGUUCGGUAAGUCGGAUGUGAAAGCCCCGGGCUCAACCCGGGAAGUGCACUCGAUACUGCCGAGCUAGAGUAUCGGAGAGGUUGGUGGAAUUCUCGGUGUAGAGGUGAAAUUCGUAGAUAUCGAGAGGAACACCGGUGGCGAAGGCGGCCAACUGGACGAAUACUGACGCUGAGACUCGAAAGCGUGGGGAGCAAACAGG
rnacentral:rRNA from 1 species